rnacentral:rRNA from 1 species
GACGAACGCUGACGGCAGGCCUAACACAUGCAAGUCGAACGAGUGGCGGACGGGUGAGUAAUGUCUGGGACACUGCCUGAUGGCGGGGGCUAACUACUGGAAAAGGUCGCUAAUAACGCAUACCAUCGGAUGUGCACAGAUUGGAUUAGCUAGUAGGUGGGGUAACGCCUCACCUAGGCGACGAUCCCGAGCUGUUCUGAGAGGAUGACCUGCCUCACUGUAACUGAAACACGGUCCAGACUCCUACGUGAGGCAGCAGUUGGGAAUAUUUCACUAUGGGCGAAAGCCGGAUGCAGCCAUGCCGCGUGUAUGAAGAAGUCCUUCGGGUUGUAAAGUACGUUAAGCGGGGAGGCGUUACCCGCAGAAGAAGCACCGGCUAACGCCGUGCCAGCAGCCGCGGUAAUAC